GCGGGAGUAGCUCAGUUGGUAAGAGCAUCAGCCUUCCAAGCUGAGGGUCGCGGGUUCGAAUCCCGUCUCCCGCU
rnacentral:tRNA from 1 species